GGUAUGGGAUGAGCUUGCGUCCGAUUAGCUAGUUGGCGGGGCAACGGCCCACCAAGGCGACGAUCGGUAGCCGGCCUGAGAGGGCGAUCGGCCACAUUGGGACUGAGAUACGGCCCAGACUCCUACGGGAGGCAGCAGUAGGGAAUAUUGCACAAUGGGGGAAACCCUGAUGCAGCAACGCCACGUGUGGGAAGAAGCAUUUCGGUGUGUAAACCACUGUCGUGAGGGAAUAAGGCAUCGUUUCGGCGAUGUUGAAUGUACCUCGAAAGGAAGCACCGGCAAACUUCGUGCCAGCAGCCGCGGUAAUACGAGGGGUGCAAGCGUUGUUCGGAAUCACUGGGCGUAAAGGGAGCGUAGGCGGAGAAGCAAGCGGACUGUACAAUACCGGGGCCCAACCCCGGACCUGCAGUUCGGACUGCUUUUCUUGGAUAGUUCAGGGGCAGGC
rnacentral:rRNA from 1 species